AAUGCUUAGAGGUUAAUAGGUUAUCAUUAACAUGAACACCAGCUGUUGUGCUGUUGUGAUGCGACUGAGAGAUUGACUGUGAAGUGAGACUGAGCUAUAUAAAAAGGAUGGACAGGCCACAAGAACGUGCAAGUGAGCUGAGAACUUUCUAUAAACAACUUCUGGGGAAAAAGGAUGCAGACUGGAGUCAGCUGACUGCAGUUGGAAUGACUCAAGAUGCAUAAUCUCUCAGAAGACCAACCCCUCAUCCCAGCUGUGGGAGACAAGCAACACUGAAAAGUAGGGGAUGGCCUACAGGGGUGAAGUACAGCGGGAACUUCGAGUGCCCCAGGACCAAUGCUAUAGCUGUGAAGGCCCUGUAAAUACUACGAAAAGUGGCAGCUAACUGGGCUCCCGUGAAGCUAUGAUAGGCAUAGCUAGCCAACAGUGGAUCAAACCAGUUUUGGACAGGGGAACUAGCCUCGGAAAGGAUACCAUUCAUUCCACCUGACAACCAACAGCACCGCUCAGCCAGACUGUGACACUGGAGCAAUUUACGUGGCCAGAGCAGUGUAGCUGCACGUGUGUGCACGCACAGUGUUGAGUGCAAUCUGUAUAGCACUGUGUCGAUCCUACUUCAUUUUUCAUUUAUAAUUUAGUUACAUAAAUUACAAUUUAUAUUAUAAAAUGGGUG